rnacentral:rRNA from 1 species
GAUGAACGCUAGCGGGAGGCUUAAUACAUGCAAGUCGAGCGGCAAGUUUUGAUAGCAAUAUUGGAACCUAGAGCGGCGCACGGGUGAGUAACGCGUACAUGACCUGCCCUAUACUGGGGGAUAGCCUUGGGAAACUGAGAUUAAUACCCCAUGGUAUUAUUUGGCCACCUGGUUGAAUAAUUAAAGUUGCGGCGGUAUAGGAUGGGUGUGCGUCUGAUUAGCUAGUUGGUAGGGUAACGGCCUACCAAGGCGAUGAUCAGUAGGGGGCGUGAGAGCGUGGUCCCCCACACGGGUACUGAGACACGGACCCGACUCCUACGGGAGGCAGCAGUAAGGAAUAUUGGUCAAUGGAGGAAACUCUGAACCAGCUAUCCCGCGUGAAGGAUGAAGGGGCUCUGCCUUGUAAACUUCUUUUGUCUGGGGCGAAAAAGACUCGUUUACGAGUAACUGACGGUACCAGAAGAAUAAGCACCGGCUAACUCCGUG